CACUUGGAGGAUGUAUAGCAAUAGCUACUUGCAUCAUCCUUUUCUCAUUUUAUUCUUCUCGUUUUCUUCUUUUUAAGAAGAAAAUGAGAAGAAUAAAAGUAGAGAAAAGUAAAGAUGAUGCAAGAUCGACUAUGUCGAAUAAAAUUCUAGGUAGAAUUAUGAUAAUGACAUUGUCUGCCUAUGUGUCUUGACCAAAUUACGUGCCAGCAGUCGCGGUAAUACGUAGAAGACUAGUGUUAUUCAUGUUUAAUCGGUUUAAAGGGUACCUAGACGGUAAAUCAAGCUUUCAAAGAAAAACAAGACAAAAUUGAUAGUAUAGUGAUAAUUAAAGGACUAAUUUACUAGAGUUACUUAUGAGGGGGUAUUAAAGUACUGCUGGUGUAGAGAUGAAAUUCUGUCAUACCUCUUUUCAAAAGAAAAAUGAUGGCACAGGUAUAGGCGAAGGCAUCCCC
rnacentral:rRNA from 1 species